CACGUAGGGUGCGAGCGUUGUCCGGAAUUAUUGGGCGUAAAGAGCUUGUAGGUGGUUUGUCGCGUCUGCUGUGAAAAUCCGAGGCUCAACCUCGGACUUGCAGUGGGUACGGGCAGACUAGAGUGUGGUAGGGGAGACUGGAAUUCCUGGUGUAGCGGUGGAAUGCGCAGAUAUCAGGAAGAACACCCGUGGCGAAGGCGGCUCUCUGGGACGGUACUGACGCUGAGGCGCGAAAGCUAGGGUAGCAAACGGG
rnacentral:rRNA from 1 species